ensembl:rRNA 5S_rRNA 5S ribosomal RNA
GUCUACGGCUAUAACACCCUGAAUGUGCGAGAUCUCAUCUGAUCUCAGAAACUAAGCAGUGUCAGGCCUAGUUAGUACUUGGAUGGGAGGCCGCCUGGGAAUACUGGGUGCUGUGGGCU